GAGGUGUCAGAAAAGUUAC
rnacentral:snRNA from 1 species